ACUAAAAUGGAGGAAUGCAUGGGUGCUUGUGAUUGCAUUAUUACUAAGGCUGGUCCGGGGACUAUUGCGGAAGCCAUGAUUCGUGGACUGCCUAUAAUUCUUAAUGGUUACAUUGCUGGUCAGGAAGCUGGAAAUGUGCCAUAUGUUAUCGAGAAUGGAUUCGGGAAAUACUCAAAGUCACCUAAAAAGAUAGCCAGUAUAGUCGCGCAGUGGUUUGGUCCCAAACAAGAUGAACUCAGAAUCAUGUCCCAAAAUGCUCUAAGGCUAUCAAGGCCAGAUGCUGUAUUUAAGAUAGUACAUGACAUGCAUGAAUUGGUCAGACGGAAAAAUUUUGUACCACAGUAUUGUCCUGCUUAAAUUACUUGCAUCAGUUAGCUGGUGGAAGAUAGCAGACACCCAGUGAAAUACUCGGUGUUUGCAAGCUAGCUCAGACACCAUCAUUAAACGGAGCAAUUAUUACUAUUAUUAUUAUUUCA
rnacentral:misc_RNA from 1 species